CCUACGGGCGACAGCAGUGGGGGAUAUUGCACAAUGGGGGAAACCCUGAUGCAGCGACGCCGCGUGGGUGAAGAAGCGCCUCGGCGCGUAAAGCCCUGUCAGCAGGGAAGAAAAUGACGGUACCUGAAGAAGAAGCCCCGGCUAACUACGUGCCAGCAGCCGCGGUAAUACGUAGGGGGCAAGCGUUAUCCGGAUUUACUGGGUGUAAAGGGGGCGCAGACGGCGAUGCAAGCCAGGAGUGAAAGCCCGGGGCCCAACCCCGGGACUGCUCUUGGAACUGCGUGGCUAGAGUGCAGGAGGGGCAUGCGGAAUUCCUGGUGUAGCGGUGAAAUGCGUAGAUAUCACGAGGAACACCGGUGGCGAAGGCGGCCUGCUGGACUGCAACUGACGUUGAGGCCCGAAAGCGUGGGGAGCAAACAGGAUUAGAUACCCCAGUAGUC
rnacentral:rRNA from 1 species